UUGACGGGCCCCGCACAGCAGCGAGCGUGUGGUUUAAUUCGAUGCUACACGAAGAACCUUACCAGGGUUUGACAUACAAGUAGUAGGGAAAGGAAACUGGACCGACCCUUCGGGGAGCUUGUACAGGUGCUGCAUGGCUGUCGUCAGCUCGUGUCGUGAGAUGUUCGGUUAAGUCCGCUAACGAGCGCAACCCUCGCUGUGUGUUACAAGUGUCACACGGAACUGCCGGUCAUAAACCGGAGGAAGGUGGGGAUGACGUCAAGUCCUCAUGGCCUUUAUGACCAGGGCUACACACGUACUACAAUGGCCGGUACAAAGGGCAGCGACACAGCGAUGUGAAGCGAAUCCCGAAAAGCCGGUCUCAGUCCGGAUUGGAGUCUGCAACUCGACUCCAUGAAGUUGGAAUCGCUAGUAAUCGCGGAUCAGCACGCCGCGGUGAAUACGUUCCCGGGCCUU
rnacentral:rRNA from 1 species